rfam:Oryza rufipogon genomic scaffold, chr02
AAUGUUUGACGUCGUUGACUUUUUUAAACAUGUUUGACCGUUCGUCUUAUUCAAAAAAUUUAAGUAAUUAUUAAUUUUUUCCUUAUCAUUUGAUUUAUUGUUAAAUAUACUUUUAUGUAUACAUAUAGUUUUACGUAUUUCACAAAAGUUUUUGAAUAAGACGAACGGUCAAACAUGUUUAAAAAAGUCAACGGCGUCAAACAAU